AUGCAACUCGUCACCUGCGGCCAGACGGCGGUCAACAUCAACGAUGAGAUCGGGCCCUACUUCCCCACCUUAUGUGGGGUGCGCCAGGGGGACCCGUUCUCCCCGUUUCUCUUUAACAUGGUGGUCGAUGCCCUUGCUGUCAUCCUGGAUAAGGCCAAGGCCUUAGGUCAUAUUCGAGGCAUUGUCCCUCACCUUGUUGGUGCUGGAGGGGUCUCCCUCCUCCAGUAUGCGGACGACACCAUUAUCAUGGUUGAAGGCUCCGCGUCCGACAUCGCCAACCUGAAGUCCUUCUCCUUUGCUUCCAACAAAUGUCCGGACUCACCAUUAACUUUGACAAGAGCGAAGUGAUGGUUCUUGGCUACAACCCGGACGAAGUCUUGUCCAUUGCGGACCGGCUUAACUGCCUCCUGGGUACCUUCCCCACCGCUUACUUGGGGGUGA
rnacentral:rRNA from 1 species